rnacentral:lncRNA from 1 species
AGGCUUGAGUGACUAACACAAUUUUUUAAAUUGAGUACUAAGUUAAAUUCCAGCCAAUGAUGCAUGGGUGUACCAAUACUAUUUAUGAGAAUGAAUAGACUCCUGCUGUACUGUAACAGUAUCCAAUGGAAAUAGUGAAUCAAGAUAAACUUAUUUAAAAAAAAUAACAGCAGAAUUUAUCUCAGUGAUUAUGCUUCUACUUAUGGUGAAAGGAAUUUGUAAUUUUUAAUGAGAAGAGGCAAGAGAUUGUAAAUUACGUCAUUUUAUGAAAAUGAUUCAGUUCAACAAAUAUUUACUAAAUACCUACUGUGUGCAGAUCACUGAGCUAGGUGCUGGAUGAGAUGCAGGAUUUAAGUAAGACAUCAUCAUUGGCCAUCAUGGGAUUUAUAUGUGAUUAGGGAGAUCCAUCAUCUAGUAACAGUUGGCAUUUGUUGUUCAUCCUUUGCUUAGAAGAGGACCAAUGACCUCACAGGGUGAUGACUUGUGUAUGAAUUGGGUUUAAGUGAGUUGGAGUUGCACAACAAUCUUGAACUUCACUCUUCCUUUUAGAAUCAUUGAGGUCCAAUGGCAAGACAAAAGUCAGGAAGAUUGGCAAUGGCUCAGAAUGCAGUGGAUUUGACGUUGGCUUCGUUGAUGUAUGUCUGACCAAAUUCUAAAGUGCUCCACAGCAUCUCCAGCCUUCAUGGAUGGAACAUAUUCUUCUCAUCUGGCCAUUCCACUGGGGGAAGUCUUUACAUACUUGAGAAGAUGGAGAAAGGGACAAGAAUUGCAGUCCUAGACCUGAUUCUAGACAAUGAAGAGGACCUGGUCGGUGAAGUACAACAGACAAAAACCUUGCAAGGCAGUGAUUAUAUCAUCAAAGUCUUCAUAAUAGACUUGCUUAGACAGGCUCAUCAAUGAGAAGCAGCAACUUCCUCUCAGGCUUCAGUACAGGAAGAGAGCACCAUUGACCACUGCACCUUCAAAAACUUUCCUUCCUCUGUCACCACAUUCCAGAGUGCUUUCCCCAGAGAUCCUAACAUGUGCUCAUGCUCGCCUCUACAAAACCAUCUUCAACUUUACUUAAACUCUUAAUUUUAUACUCCUAUCUCAAUAUAGUCCACUGAAACCUCUCUAUCUUUUGCAGACAAACUUCUUUCUAACUAAGUUAUAACCAUAUUGAGACACUAUUUUUAAUGAAAAUGCAUGUCAUUAUAUUGAUCCCUGCUGAAUUGUCCUCUUAUUAUAUGUAGUUCAAUAUUCAAAUCUAUAGGAAUAUUUUUA